UGUUCCCACGUCAAGAAUCGAACCCGCGCCUCCUGGGUGAGAGCUAGGUAUACUAUCCACUAGACCAUAC